rnacentral:misc_RNA from 1 species
AAGUCGUAACAAGGUUUCCGUAGGUGAACCUGCGGAAGGAUCAUUAAAGAAAUUUAAUAAUUUUGAAAAUGGAUUUUUUUGUUUUGGCAAGAGCAUGAGAGCUUUUACUGGGCAAGAAGACAAGAGAUGGAGAGUCCAGUCGGGCCUGCGCUUAAGUGCGCGGUCUUGCUUGGCUUGUAAGUUUCUUUCUUGCUAUUCCAAACAGUGAGAGAUUUCUGUGCUAUUGUUAUAGGACAAUUAAAACCGUUUCAAUACAACACACUGUGGAGUUUUCAUAUCUUUGCAACUUUUUCUUUGGGCAUUCGAGCAAUCGAGGCCCAGAGGUAACAAACACAAACAAUUUUAUUUAUUCAUUAAAUUUUUGUCAAAAACAAGAAUUUUCGUAACUGGAAAUUUUAAAAAUAUUAAAAACUUUCAACAACGGAUCUCUUGGUUCUC